rnacentral:rRNA from 1 species
CAAGUCGCACGAGAAAGCGGGAGCAAUCUCGCAAGUACAGUGGCGUACGGGUGAGUAACACGUGGAUUAUCUGCCCUGGAGUGGGGAAUAACGCUGGGAAACCGGCGCUAAUACCGCAUAUUCCCGAGAGGGGAAAGCAGCAAUGCGCUCGAGGAGGAGUCCGCGGCCGAUUAGCUAGUUGGCAGGGUAAAAGCCUACCAAGGCUGUGAUCGGUAGCCGGCCUGAGAGGGCACACGGCCACACUGGCACUGAAACACGGGCCAGACUCCUACGGGAGGCAGCAGUGGGGAAUCUUGCACAAUGGGGGAAACCCUGAUGCAGCGACGCCGCGUGAGCGAUGAAGCCCUUCGGGGUGUAAAGCUCUUUCGGCAGGGAAGAUUAUGACGGUACCUGCAGAAGCAGCUGCGGCUAACUACGUGCCAGCAGCCGCGGUAAUACGUAGGCAGCAAGCGUUGUUCGGAGUUACUGGGCGUAAAGGGUGUGUAGGCGGCCUGUUAAGUUCCGUGUGAAAUCUCCCGGCUCAACCGGGAGGGUGCGCGGAAAACUGGCGGGCUAGAGUGCGGGAUGGGAGAGUAGAAUUCCUGGUGUAGCGGUGAAAUGCGUAGAUAUCAGGAGGAAUACCGGUGGUGUAGACGGCUCUCUGGACCGCAACUGACGCUGAAACACGAAAGCGUGGGUAGCAAACAGGAUUAGAUACCCUGGUAGUCCACGCCCUAAACGAUGCAUAUUUGGUGUAGGUCAUUCAGUUGAUCUGUGCCGGAGCUAACGCGUUAAAUAUGCCGCCUGGGGAGUACAGUCGCAAGGCUGAAACUCAAAGGAAUUGACGGGGGCCCGCACAGCGGUGGA